CGGAAAUGGUCUAUUGGUUGAUUGCACAAAUCGAAAGUAUUGAAAUGUGUUGAAAGUAAUGUUUUUAAAAUAAUCCCGGUUAUUUUGGUACGUAAUACAGAUUCUGAUGGGUGCGCUAAAGCUAUUAUCAAAAGAAAAUUAUGUGAAACUAGCCCGAACGGUGGUCGUACUGCUGCCUUUAAUGCGCCCCUAAUGGGAGAAUCACUACGGAAAGGUUGAUGGCGACCGGAUCAGCCAAAAUCAUCGGAAAUAACAAUCAGGACAGGUCCCAUCUGGAGGAUUUGCCCAAAUAGAGCUGAGUUUUGCUACGGAGAAAAUUGCAAUCACCCACCUCAGAAUGUUUAGCUGUCGAAUCCGAUGCGAUCAUGUUGCAUUUAGAAGGGGAAGUUGUGUUCGGUUAACCAUACUUCUAUUUAAGUAGCAAUAAUUCGAACACCAUUGAAAAUACAAUAGCAUGGCAAGUUUAUUCUACGCUUAAUCCUACAGUUGAAUAAAAGUAAGAUUCAUUUAUUUAAAGAUG